CCUACGGGAGGCAGCAGUGAGGAAUAUUGGUCAAUGGACGAGAGUCUGAACCAGCCAAGUAGCGUGAAGGAUGACUGCCCUAUGGGUUGUAAACUUCUUUUUUAUGGGAAUAAAACGCUCCACGUGUGGGAUUUUGUAUGUACCAUAUGAAUAAGGAUCGGCUAACUCCGUGCCAGCAGCCGCGGUAAUACGGAGGACCCGAGCGUUAUCCGGAUUUAUUGGGUUUAAAGGGAGCGUAGGUGGAGUGUUAAGUCAGUUGUGAAAGUUUGCGGCUCAACCGUAAAAUUGCAGUUGAAACUGGCAGUCUUGAGUACACUACAGGUAGGCGGAAUUCGUGGUGUAGCGGUGAAAUGCUUAGAUAUCACGAAGAACUCCGAUUGCGAAGGCAGUUCACUGGACUGCAACUGACACUGAGGCUCGAAGGUGUGGGUAUCAAACAGGAUUAGAUACCCCGGUAGUC
rnacentral:rRNA from 1 species